GACGAACGCUGGCGGCGUGCUUAACACAUGCAAGUCGAACGGAAAGGCCCUGCUUUUGUGGGGUGCUCGAGUGGCGAACGGGUGAGUAACACGUGAGUAACCUGCCCUUGACUUUGGGAUAACUUCAGGAAACCGGGGCUAAUACCGGAUAUGAUCUCCUGCUGCAUGUUGGGGGUUGGUAAGUUUCGGCGGUUGGGGAUGGACUCGCGGCUUAUCAGCUUGCUAGUCUGGUAGUUGCUUACCAAGGCUUUGACGGGUAGCCGGCCUGAGAGGCGGACCGGGCACAAUGGGACUAAGAUACGGAGCAGACGCCUACGGGAGGCAACAGUGGAGAAUAUUGCGGAAUGGGCGGAAGCCUGAGGCAGCAACGCCGCGUGCGGGAUGACGGCCUUCGGGUUGAAAACAGAUUUCGACUGUGACGAAGCGUGAGUGACGGUAAUGAGUAAAGAAGCACCGGCUAACUACGUG
rnacentral:rRNA from 1 species